rnacentral:rRNA from 1 species
GAUGAACGCUGGCGGCGUGCCUAAUACAUGCAAGUCGAGCGAACGGACGAGAAGCUUGCUUCUCUGAUGUUAGCGGCGGACGGGUGAGAAACACGUGGAUAACCUACCUAUAAGACUGGGAUAACUUCGGGAAACCGGAGCUAAUACCGGAUGAUAUUUUGAACCGCAUGGUUCAAAAGUGAAAGACGGUCUUGCUGUCACUUAUAGAUGGAUCCGCGCUGCAUUAGCUAGUUGGUAAGGUAACGGCUUACCAAGGCAACGAUGCAUAGCCGACCUGAGAGGGUGAUCGGCCACACUAGAACUGAGACACGGUCCAGACUCCUACGGGAGGCAGCAGUAGGGAAUCUUCCGCAAUGGGCGAAAGCCUGACGGAGCAACGCCGCGUGAGUGAUGAAGGUCUUCGGAUCGUAAAACUCUGUUAUUAGGGAAGAACAUAUGUGUAAGUAACUGUGCACAUCUUGACGGUACCUAAUCAGAAAGCCACGGCUAACUACGUG